GGGUUGUGAGGUUAAGCGACUAAGCGUACACGGUGGAUGCCCUGGCAGUCAGAGGCGAUGAAGGGCGUACUAAUCUGCGAUAAGCGCCGGUAAGGUGAUAUGAACCGUUAUAACCGGCGAUACCCGAAUGGGGAAACCCAGUGUGAUUCGUCACACUAUCAUUAACUGAAUCCAUAGGUUAAUGAGGCGAACCGGGGGAACUGAAACAUCUAAGUACCCCGAGGAAAAGAAAUCAACCGAGAUUCCCCCAGUAGCGGCGAGCGAACGGGGAGGAGCCCAGAGCCUGAAUCAGCAUGUGUGUUAGUGGAAGCGUCUGGAAAGGCGCGCGAUACAGGGUGACAGCCCCGUACACAAAAGCGCAUGUGCUGUGAGCUCGAUGAGUAGGGCGGGACACGUGGUAUCCUGUCUGAAUAUGGGGGGACCAUCCUCCAAGGCUAAAUACUCCUGACUGACCGAUAGUGAACCAGUACCGUGAGGGAAAGGCGAAAAGAACCCCGGCGAGGGGAGUGAAAAAGAACCUGAAACCGUGUACGUACAAGCAGUGGGAGCACCCUUUGGGUGUGACUG
rnacentral:rRNA from 1 species